rnacentral:tRNA from 1 species
GGAGAAGUACUCAAGUGGUGACGAGGCGCCCCUGCUAAGGGCGUAGGGCUCGAAAGGGCCGCGGGGGUUCGAGUCCCCCCUUCUCCGCCA